rnacentral:rRNA from 1 species
UACAGAGGUCCCAAGCGUUGUUCGGAUUCAUUGGGCGUAAAGGGUGCGUAGGCGGCGCGGUAAGUCGGGUGUGAAAUCUCGGGGCUUAACUCCGAAACUGCAUUCGAUACUGCCGUGCUUGAGGACUGGAGAGGAGACUGGAAUUUACGGUGUAGCGGUGAAAUGCGUAGAUAUCUGGAGGAACACCGGUGGCGAAGGCGGCAUCCUGGACCAAUACUGACGCUGACGGAGCGAAAGCCAGGGGAG